rnacentral:rRNA from 1 species
AACGAACGCUGGCGGCAUGCCUAACACAUGCAAGUCGAACGAGACCUUCGGGUCUAGUGGCGCACGGGUGCGUAACGCGUGGGAACCUGCCCUUAGGUUCGGAAUAACUCCCCGAAAGGGGUGCUAAUACCAGAUAAUGUCUUCGGACCAAAGAUUUAUCGCCUUUGGAUGGGCCCGCGUUGGAUUAGCUAGUUGGUAGGGUAAAAGCCUACCAAGGCGACGAUCCAUAGCUGGUCUGAGAGGAUGAUCAGCCACACUGGGACUGAGACACGGCCCAGACUCCUACGGGAGGCAGCAGUGGGGAAUAUUGGACAAUGGGCGAAAGCCUGAUCCAGCAAUGCCGCGUGAGUGAUGAAGGCCUUAGGGUUGUAAAGCUCUUUUACCCGGGAUGAUAAUGACAGUACCGGGAGAAUAAGCUCCGGCUAACUCCGU